GGACGGGCUUCUGGAGAGACCUUGAGAAUUUUUAAUUCUCACCUUUUUAAAAGGACGGCGCCGAAGGGGCAAGGCUAAUAAGUACAAGCUCAAUCUCUCAGGCAAAAGGACAGAAGGUAAGUA
rnacentral:ncRNA from 2 species